ACAACUUGGAGUUGAAGCUAUGGCUGCUACGAACCCCUGAGAUCCCUUAUAAGGGCUGAGGUGUAGGCUGCACCUUCUUCUUUCCUCCCAAGAUGCUGACUGUUUCAAGAUGCUGGUGAUUCAAAGACACAUGGUUUGAGAUUUCUGUCUCUGUAUCCUCAUAGCUGUCAACCCAUGUUGUUGCAUAAUCCUCGCACUGACAGCUUCAGUGUGGAGGAAAAGAGUACAAAAAGUCAAGGACAGAAGGGAGAGACUCAUCCUGACGGUGCAGAUCAAAAGUGGUUUCCUGGGUCUUGGAAAGAGAAAUCUGAAGCAGAGCAUGUUGCUUGAGGGAGAACAGGCCUCUGGGGUAGUUGUUUUCAACAAGGCUUUUAAAGACAAGCAGACUUUGGUGCUGGGUGUGGAACGAGGGGAAGAAAUUUCCAGGUGGAAAUGGUCCUUCCACAUACAAGUGGGGUACUUGCCAAUGACAUGGAGUUCAACUUGGCUGGACUUCCAGGUGUGAGAUGAUCAUAUGAAACAACUCAUAAGCCAGGUAUGAAACCCCAGGUCCCAAAGGACUGUACCUUAGAAGACAGUCUGGGCCCAUGCCUAGGGUCUGUUGCCCCAGGGUAGUGCAGACUUGAAAUAAAGUAGAGGUACCUGGGGGCCUUGAGGCUUGAGGCUCAAUGUAGUUGCAUAUCAGUGUAAGUUCCAGGUGAUAAUUUUUAGCUGAUUCCCAUUUUCCUGGGGGAAACUGAAAAUAUGUUUUUAACUAAGUACCCAGCCCAAUGAAUUCUAUUGCUUAGUCUCAGGGCAGAGUGUCAGCUUGUCUAUGAUUCCCAAAACACAAGAUGCCAAUUUUGAAACCUUAGCAAUCCUCCUGACUGCUGUGACCUGAUUUUGCCUCUGCUAGCAUAUAUCUCAUUAUAUAGGUAUAUAGAUAGAGCAUAAUUGUAUAUAAUUAUAAUUUUGAAUGUGUAAUUUUUCUCUCUAAAAAAAUGAUGCAUACCCAUAUAAAGAUGUAUUAAUGUAGAUAAGCAUAAGGAAGAUGAUUAAGACCAAGCAAAAAUCUUACUGCCUAAAAAUAACUCCUGCUAAUAAUUUCAGGAUCUAUUUCCAAAUUUUCUACAGAAAGUCACAAAAUGGGAUAAUUUCAGAAUACUUUAUAACCUGAUCUUUUAAUUAAUAGUACAAUUGUCAAUAUUCUUCUGUGCUAAUAAAUAUUGAUCAACACUAUUAUAGUCCAUUAUAUGAAUGCAUCAUGAUUUGUGUAAUGAGUUCCCUGAUUCGGGGGACUUAAUGUUGCUUCCAUGUUUUGCCGUAAACAAUAAUAAAAUAAACAUUCUCAUUGGUGA